GAGCCUACAGCAUGUGCUAUGGGAGUCCUAAACCUGAACAGCUGAAGGACCAUCCCAAAGGGAGCAACCCAAGGAACCCUUCCAUCGUACAGCAGAUGAAGAGGAAAAACAGAUGGGACUUACUCACAUAAAGGGAGCAUACCAAGUGUCCUGAGAGACACUCGGAACAGUCACACACUUUAGAAAAAUCCCUGCGUUAUAUUUCAGAAAGUGGAUUUUUUAUUUCUAAGACAGUCCCUGUUCCAGUGUCCAGCAUAUAGCCUAAGAAGCAUGACGUAGUCAGGUAAAGCAGGUCAGCCUCACCUGAAGCCAGUCAGAAGCUACGGCUCCAGGUCAAGUAGUGGAGAUGCAGAACAAUAAUUCUCGUCUGAAUUACAUGAGCAGCACUUGGCCGACACCAAAUGCUAGUCAGCUGCAUCUCAUGCAGAGUGAGGUCCCUGAAAAACCACAGCAAUGACCAGCUAAGUGACACCAGAGCGUGAGAUACAUCCAGAUGAAUGAACUUGUGACUGUGAAUGAAGCUCAACUGAACUUCCUCUCUGCCCUUUGCAGAACUCUACUUGAAGGGCUGUCACCUUAGGUCAGAAAAGGAAAAGAAGGGGAAGUUUGCCUUUUCAACUUAAGGACAACGGAAAUCAUAAUUCCUUCUUACUGCAUGUGUCUGCUUCCUGGCUGGAGGAACAAAGCUCCUGGAAUCUAAACCAGAGGAAAUGCAUUUGCCAAUAUAAACCUCACAAAAACAGAAUCUGAAGUGAAUUUCGUGGAUUUGUUUUUGACGAAGACAGCAGUGCUGCAAAGAUCAGACUUGUUCAGGUCUCUCCGUCUUCAUCUAUAGUGUCUUGACUACUACGUGGAGGUUUGUUUGUCAGUGUGUCCAGCAGGCAUCUUACUGAUGUCUCUAUAGAUCACAGACAAGAAAAAUACAAUGCGACCUUGAUAAAUUCCUCAGCUACAUAACCUUUUUGGCAAUUCUCAUUUGCAAGUGGAAAAAAUCAUAACCUAAAUCAAUAUGCUACCAUUGCUGAUGUUCUCAGCAGGCCACCCAGUGGAAAUCAAUGAAAACGGUUGAAUAGUUAAGCUCAUUACUCCACUUUAUUCCUAGUUUAUGUGUGAACUGUUCUCACAUACCACCUUCCCUGACCGUGUCCCUUCCUCAGGAUGACAGCUACAGCAUCUCACUUUCCACUGAUGGUGAAGGAUGGUAAGAUGCCAACUUUCCAAAUGUCUGCAAUAGCUUCUGCGUGUGGUCCUGGGGCAUGACAACAAGGAAGCUGAUUUGGUAAUUCGUCAAUUCUGAGGCAGAAGAUGAGGCUACACAGAGAACUGAUGUUCAGCCCUCUUUUUUGAUGAAACAUGUUUCCUUCUGACAGAGUGGGCCCUUUACCUGUCACCAGUCAACUGAAAGAUCAGACGUACCAUGUCCCUCAAGCACCUAGUCAUUCCUCAUCUACAAGACCUUUUCCCUAAAAUUAUUUGAAUCCACUUGCUAUCUUUUGUUCUUUGAAACUGCUCCUCUCUGGACCACCCACUGCCCUUUAGAAAAUGGCAUUUAUCCAAUAACAUGCUGAGAAAACUUUUCAAGUGCUGGCUGUUCUUCAUCUAUAGCCGCCCAGAUCCUGUUCUUUCACCUACUAAAGCCACUGGCGAAACUCCAUAUGACUUCAAUGGAAGCAGAAUCAGGUCGCUGAUGAAUAACUGCCCUUCUUCCACCAAAAACCAACAUCAAACACAGAGUUGGUAACUGUGUGGGCCGGUUAUUUUUCUCUAUUGUACUUUUUCUCUAUAAGAAUACUGCAAAAGUAUUGUAACUGUAUAAUGCUGUACGUGUCUCUAACACUAUUUUUUGAUUCUUACAUGAAGUACUUGGCUUCUGCCAUUUUCUCUCUUUUGAUUUCAGGUUCACAUGCCAACAACCACUUGCAGGAGAAAAAAGGACUGACUCUCCUGGCCAAAUGAAAAAGUACAUUCCUGAUAUGGCAUCCAGCUGAGAACUUGAAUAGGAAGUAAUAUACCCAACAGGCAUCCUGUAUCUCCCUCCAACCCAUCAUCCACCAAUUUUCUGUUCUCUCAACACUCUCAGAGACUAGGGAUCAGCAGUUCCUUUACAGGCUGAGCUUGCUCCAAGAUAUUUUAUUACCUUAACUGUUUGUUUAUACCAGUAGUUGCUGAACACAACCCUACAAAGGCAUGGAUGAAGAGAGAGGAAAAGGUUUCAAUUCAAUAAGCUGGCCUGAAUCUCAGCCUAAAACGUGUGCUGAACUGUUUUAUGAAUUACAGCUUUGUGAAGAGUCUCUGCAUCCUUUUGUCUUAGUGCACUGCUUGGUUGCUUUUCUUCACCCAGUUCUGCUUGGUUAAUGUCAGGUGCUGCUCUGCCCACCAGAACUUCCCUGCUGUUGGCCUCUCAAGUAACAGCCUUUCCCUGUGAUCCCUCUCCCUUGUCCUGCUGCAACAGCAGACGUUCCUGAUGAGGGAUGAAUGCAGCACUCCUUGCAGGAACAUGUGUUCAUGACACGCCUACAGCCUCCAGGAAGACUUGCUGGCCUCUCUGUGCAGUUAGACUUGUAUUUUGCUAGAGCUGGCAAACUUUGCUGGAAAGGGGAAUAAAAACAGUCAUAUAGGCUCAGUGUUGCAUACUAUCAAAAUAGCCGUCAAAGUAAACUCUAGCAGUGAACGUAAGCCAUGAUAGUUACGGCCUGUGCUGUGAGCCUCCACCAAAACACAGAGACUCAGGAUCUGGGAGUUCUUCUUGAUCUCUCAUAGAGCCAGCCAGCUAAAAAAAAAGGGAAGCAUGAAUACUGUCAUGAAAGGUUUUGGAAUGCCUUUAAUCAUUGCAAACUGCAUUAAUUAUGGAGACAAAAAUCAAGCUGGCUUACCUAAAUGUCAUUAUGCAAAAUCUAAAAAUAUGACGAAAGGUAGACUGACAUUCCUGUCAUCUUGUUUAAUCACACGUAAGUCUUUUAUUUACCAAUGAAUCCCCAUGGAUGUUUAAUGAUGUCAAGGGCACAUUUUAAUGGGAACUAAGAUUAUCCAGCCAAUACUUGCGAAUUUGCCAUAUUGAGUAAUUCUCAGUGUUGAUUUUUAUUAGUAGCAUCCUGUUAACAAAACAGAUAGCAGAUCUGUCUGUGUUCUACCCAUUUUUAUCUUAGGCCAAAACUAUUUUCAUUUAUUCCUUGUCCAAAUGAAGUGGACUAUUCAGUCAGAAAAGGUACCAUUACCACUCCCCGCACACAUCAGCCACAUUUAAGUAUACUUAUAUAGAAGAGAAUUACUUUUUUAUGUUGUCAUAAGUCAAAGAGAGUAAGAAUACUUGGGUUUUAUUGUUUUAAUUAUUACUUUAUUUUACUGUAAUUAUUAUUUUAAAUGACUUUUAUUUUGCAAAAUAAUCACCCUAUGGGGUAAUUUGGAUUUUGGCUAAAAACCCCACCUGGGUUUCUAAUAAAGUACAGAACUAAACAACCCCUGAAUUUAAAACAACAACUAGACUUCAAGAUUUCAAGAAAAUUCCAAUUCUGACAGCCAUUGUGUGUCCUAGGACCAUUUUGGUGCAAUACUCCGUGCAGGCAUUAACAGAUCUAAAGUUUGUGAACCUAGAGAUUUUAAAAAUGAGUUCAGUAAUGACUCACAAAGAACUCAAAAAAAAAAUUGUCUUUUUGAUUAAGGUCAGCUUCACAGACAGCCAACUUGGCAUCCCUAAUAACUAAGCUUACCAAAAAGCCUGUGGGGAUAUAACGGCAUGGCACGUCACAUCUCUGGCCACAGGCCACCAGAGAUGAGGCACUGCAUCACAAGACUUGCAAAAUGUUAGAUGUCUUUGUUAGACCUACAAUCUCUGUGAAAUGCUGUGCAGGUGUCAGCUCUCAGUUUCCUUUCUUCAGAAGCUUUGAUAAUUCAACCAUAUAUUCUCCUUAGACUGACCACAUUCCUAUUUUGACUUCUUCAGUGUUAACAGGCAAGACAUUUUUUGAAAAUCUCAUCAUAAUUAUUAUUUGCUUUUUUUCCAUUUCACCAGUCACAUUCCCCCAGGAGACCCAGAAAGAAUCUUACCCUACAGUCAUAACUAGAACAAAAAUAAUUGCACUUUUAUCAGGACUUCUUCAUAGAGGGAAAAAUCCUCUUUCAUGGAUUCUUUGACAUCUAAGCAAAACUUCCAGCUGCCUCAAGCAGCCCAGGACCUCACCUUUGUUUUAUGUAGAGAAGACAGGUGUUUGUGAGAGGCUAUGAAAAAGCCUGUAAGAAUGACAGAGAAAGAAUAGUUUGAUCACUGAGAAAACAUGAUAGAGCAUUAGAAGCCUGAACUGGCUUCCCUCAUGACAGAGGGGUAUCAACCACACUGUGGGCACUCAAGCAAUAUCAAUAGCAGCGCCAAAGGAUAUGGGAUAAUGAGGAACAGGAAUAUAUGCUUUUCUGUGCUUCAAAAUGAGGCAAGAGUUUCCAAAACAAAUGUUUCAAAGGCAGAAAUGCCCAUGCAAACCACUGAUGUAUAACUCAGCAAGCCAAAUGAUAAAUAACUAUCUGGGAACUUGGUCUGAGGUGUUUAUUUCUCUACAAGCAGUGGACCUUUUUUGCUUUUUAAUAUCAUAUUCAAAAACUAAAUUCACGUGCUUAAAAUUUACUUUAGAAUUGGACAACUACCUCAACAGAGCUGAUUCCAUGAUGCUUACUGGGAGUACAUCGCGAACUGUGACAGCAACAUCAGCUGAGCAUCCUCACAGACUCCACGUGCAUCAGGACUGCAAGAGCUAUUUUCAUUUUAGUCCUCCAAGUCCCUCUGCACAUUGUCUUUCCUCCAGAGAGAAAAUGGCAGAAAUUGCAAUUCAAGCAGAAAGGCACAGAUCCUGAAGAGUAGUUAGAGCAGUGAAAUCCCACUGUGGUACCUGCAUGUUUCUAAAGCAUUUUUUUUGUAGGACUGAUAUCUAUGAACAUGGUGGUUUUACACAGCCAUGGCUACAAAAAGAACUUUUUGCUCACACAAAUGGCACUCCAUCACAUCAUUAUAAGGGAAAAUGAAUGGGGUAUGUGACUGGCAGGGUAAGGGAAAGAAACAGCUGGAUGUCAUAUACUGAGAUGUAAAACGCCUGGACCACACUACUGAAGGCAUAAAGUCAUUUCAACAGGACCACAUCCUAUCAGCCUCUAAGUCUCUGCCAGACACCACAAAGGAAUUAAUAACAUUAUAAACUAAGAUAGCAAAAAACACAAACCACACUCCUUGCAGUGUUUUGAUCCUCAAGAACUUAAUGACAGACUAUUUCUUUUAAAAUGGGGUCCCUGUUAGUAUGUUAAUGUGACUUGAACAACUUUUAUACAGUACGAUGAUGCAAAUAAAACUCAAGAAUAGAUAUUAGCACUCAGAAAAAUAUGGAAGAAGUAUAGAUAUUAGCUAGUCAUGGAAUGUGAAGAAGUUGGCUACUCCAUUUCAGUACUUCAAAAAGUAACUGCAACACUCCAUUAGAGAGGUGUGCAAGAGGAGCAUCAGAACUACACAAAGGACUUAAGUUUAUUAUUGGUGAGUAAGCAGCAGUGGUUUCCAGGAUGAUUUUAUCAGCCUGCACAGAGGAGACCAAACGCUGAAUUCUGAUGAAUUCAGAAUGAAUUCUUGAAUUAUAUUUACAACGGACUAUGGAUUCAACAAGGCCAGCACUAUUUGUCUGUUCACAGAUUACACAUACCUUCAACGUCAUGAAAUAGGUUAAGCAAACUAAUGUUGACCCAUAGUUUGGUCACAGUAUUUGAAAUAACUAGUGCUUUACAUUUUCAUUCCUCCUGCUGUGAAGGUUGUAUGAGUCACAUGGCUUCAGCUUGCUGCCUGAGCAGAUAACCCUGUUUUAAAUGAACAUGUGGAAGUGGGCUUCUGAAUGCGUCUGGUACGAAUUUUGAUACACAUCUAUGUCUGCAAUUCAUGACAUUGUUCAGCACUGUCUCAGCAAAAUUUCUUGCUUUGUCUGAAUAGUGGUGAAAAAGUAAUAGGGGGCAUCAUGACUUCUGUGUAAAACUUUGGAUUUUGUUUAAACAAAUAUUCAAGAUACUUUUUGCACACAACCUGCCUACUUCUACUCCCAAUGAAGUUUGGUUCCAGUGGAAUUAGUACAAAUAACCACCUUAGAAUUCCACUUUUCAAACACUCUCUAACCUCUCUUAUCCAAAUUCUUCUAUGAUGUGCUUUCAUCUUUCAAGAAAUUAUAAACCUACACAGACAUGCCCCUAAACAGAUUUACAAGCAGAGUUUCUAUGUGAAACACAUUGUUUGCCUUUUUACUUAAUUAACAGAAUUACACUACGUGAGCAAAAUAAGAUAUCUUUCACCAUCACAUGAAAUAGCUUUCCUUUACUUAGAAUUAUUUUUACAUACCAUGCUUAAUUUCACUGUGACUGUUUAAUAUCAAAGUGUUUAGGGAAAAGAAUACAUUCUUAUAAAAUAUAGCUGAGCAUUCUAUAAAAAUGAUAUAAAACAAUGAUAGGUAUGAUGCUACAUAAUUAUAUAACACAAUGUAAUAUUAUUUUCAAUAAAAAAAAUAAGUUAGUAUUAUUUGGGAUAUUUGUACUGGCUUCUUCAAAUCAACCCAAAAUCAAGGGUUAGCUCUCUGUAAUUACUACUGACCACUACUGGUUGGUGGAUCUUCUUACUUCCACUCAAAUUGUAAAAAAGCUAGUGAGUAGGAAUGAGUAAAUAAUUGCUAUUCGAUUGGCAGGAAUAAAAAUAAAUAUUAGAC